rnacentral:lncRNA from 1 species
AGUUUAGAUUUUUUUUAAAUAAUUUUAGUUUAGAUCUUUUUUAAAUAAUUUUAGUUUGGUUUUUUUUUAAAAUCAUUUUAGUUUAGAUUUUUAAAAUAAUAUUAGUUUAGAUUUUUUUUAAAAUAAUAUUAGUUUAGAUUUUUUUUUUUAAAAAUAAUUUUAGUUUAGAUUUUGUAGGAUAUAUUUAAAAAUUCAAAUUAGAUUUAGGUUUAGAGUAAAGUACUGAUUAAUUAGGAUUUUCUUAUUUUGAUUAGUUUAAUUAGGUUUAAUUAGGGUAGUCCAUUAGUUUUCCUAUUUAUUAGUUUUUUUAGUUUUAUUUCUUUUUUUAUUUACCUUAGUUUAUAUAUUUAGAUUAGUACUUAAAUAACAGUUNAGAUUUAGGUUUAGAGUAAAGUACUGAUUAAUUAGGAUUUUCUUAUUUUGAUUAGUUUAAUUAGGUUUAAUUAGGGUAGUCCAUUAGUUUUCCUAUUUAUUAGUUUUUUUAGUUUUAUUUCUUUUUUAUUUACCUUAGUUUAUAUAUUUAGAUUAGUACUUAAAUAACAGUUAAUGGUUAAAUAGCCUAGUGGAGAGGGAUUAGUUCCAUAGUCUUAGGUGGAGUGAGUUCGAUACUCAUAUGUAGCACUUUUUGUAGUAUUUCAUUUUUCUUUAGUAUUUUUUUAGUAUUUCAUUUCUUUUUAGAUUUUAUAUUUUAUUAUUAUUUUGUUUUUAGUAUUUUGUUUCUUGUAAUAUCUUUUUUAUGUCCAUGCUUCUUUAUUAAUUUCAUCAUACAUUCAAAACCAUUUUAAAAUUAUAAAAAUCAUAUUUUUCUCGAUUUAAUAUCGAGUCCUUUUUCACACCCUUGUAAGUCGAUUGCUUUUUAAGCAUCGCCGUCAACCUCACAUAGCUUACUCUUGGGCUUUCUUACAAUGAGCCGGUUCUCUUGCACUUACACUCAUGCAUUAUUUGUUUGUGCCCGAUUUUAUUUAUUUCAUGAUUUUUUAAUCCCC